UGCUGGGCAGAGUGCAGUGGUGUGUACAACUAAUUGAUCACAACCAGCUACAGAUUCCUUUUACUCCUCCUCCACUCCCACUGCUUCAUUUGGCUAGCAAAAA
rnacentral:Y_RNA from 1 species